CGCUUUGCCAGCGGGCGGGCCUUCCGGGAGGGGUGGGAAGUGGCUCGUGUCUCUGGCAGGAGGCGGGUGUGUGUGCGGGUGUAGACCCGAAUCCUGCGGGCGGGCGGAGGGGCCGCAGGCCUGAGGCGAGGUCCCCCGAGGCUGCGGCUGCUCGGCCGGGAGGCGGCCGUUCGUUCCUCCGGUGGGGCGGCGCAGCGAGGGCCCCUGCCGGGGGCUCUUCCGAAGCCCGUGCCCUCACCUGAAGGAGGGCCGUCCUGCGCUUGCCCGGCUUCCCCGGCGCGCUGCCGGCCUUCUCAGGGCGGAGGGCAUCCCCCUUCCACCGUGCGGCUCAGGUCACCGCUGCCAUGGCUUUGCCCCAUCGGCCGGAUGCCCCGGAGCUGCCUGACUUCUCCAUGCUCAAGAGGCUGGCCCGAGACCAGCUCCUCUAUCUGCUGGAGCAGUAAUUGAAGACAGCAAUACCUGGAUUUAAUUAUGAAACGACAUUUACUAAAACUUCAAAUAUUAAGAAUUAUGAAAGCAAAGCUUGAAAGUAACUGCUUACCCUAAAAAGUGUCAAAUGACCUGAAAUGACGUAUUCCGUGUACCACAUCAAACACUAUCAGCACUAUUUAUGGUGACAUUUGCAAGAGCCAAUGCAGUCCGCUCAUAGGAUCCCAUCAGCCAGAGAAGGACAGACCAAAGUGACACUUGUUGAAUCAAUUCCUGGAAGCCAAGCUUUCUGAUCAACCCAGGUGCUUCUCAAGGAGUCUUCCCAGAGAAAGGGUCUUGAACAAGAAUUGAAGACGGCCUUCAGAUGAAUAUUAGCUACGUCGUGCAUCCUGAGAGGUGACUGGCUUCCUGAGGGCAGAGAUCCUGUCGGCCUGCUCAUCACUUUAUCCUCAGGAAGGCUGACGUGUCCACAGACGAUUUGGAGGAGAUAUCUGUACUGGGUGGUGAUGAAAAAACACAUUUACUUCUCAUUGUGGUUUUGGGAGUCAAAACAAAUUGAACAACGUUGGUCUAGACUACAACAUCGCUGCUGGGACCAGCUGGCCCUGCAGUAGCACAGAGAGACACCAAGCCUGAAGCUUGGGGCAUCUAUUGGCCUCAUGGACCCAGAGGCCUGGGGUUGAGGUGACCACCUUGUGGGGCCCCAUCUCUCCUUGGUGACUGGACAUGCUGGGGGUCCCGGAUGGAAAGGACUGUGAUGAGAAACCUCCUUUGGAGGACUCUCAUUGUAUCUCUGUUUAAAUGCCACCACUUUUCAUUGCUUUGGCGCUCACGUUUGCUUCUGAGAUGUAGAGACUGGAAAGAGAGCCCAGGAGAACUUGGAAGAACUGCAGGAUGGGGAGGCAGAAUGGGAAACCGGGAAUUUGUCAGGGAGUGUCAGUGGGCUUCUGGGACAUGCUAUUUGAGCUUAGGGGAUGGGCAGGGACACGCGCUCUCAAGUUUUCAGCCUGCUUUGCUAAAAGCAUGAAAUCCAAGAUCUGCUGGAAGAGUUGGAGGUGCCAGGGCCCAUGGGGGCCUUCUUCCUGGCAGAUCAGUUUCAAAGGGCCCCCCUUCAGCGACCAUUAGAGAAGGCACAGAGUCUCAGGAGGGGGCAGGCCCCACCUGAUUCCUCAUGCAAAGCCACCGUUUUGGCUAGCUGCAAGCUGCAGUAGAGAAACAGAAAAGAGUGCAAGCCUUCCAUCAUUCACGGUGGGAAUGCUUCACAAACAACAGAGAAUUAGAGAAUAGCGUCCAGAACGCUGAGAGGGAGGAGAAAGAAUGUAAGGGUGCAUGUGCGCGCACACGGUCCUCCUGCCUGGUCUCUAGUGGUGACAGCACUCAGCUGGGAGGAUGCACUGUGUGGAGCAUCCCUGAGGUAGGGUGGUGGGACCCUCACAUGGAGAGAUGGCACAUUUCACUAAGGAAAAGAAAUGAUCCAGUGUCUAGCCCACUGCUUUAAAUCUAUACUACAUGCUUAAUUUAGUUAGAACCAUGCCACCAGAGAGUUCAAAAUUUGUGCUUGUUAGUCACUGUGGAAACCAGGAAAGGUAUUGGUGCCCUGGGUGUGGACAGCAUGAAGCAACAGCUGAAAUUGGGAUUCCAGUGUUCCAUGAAAGCUCUGACUUGUGGAGCUUCAAUAACGUGGUGUGCUACUUCUGCUUCUUCCAAAACCCUUGUACUUCCCCCUCAUUUCCCUCCCCCGUCCCUUUUUCCCUCAUGAACCCACCCCCCCCCUUUCCAGGGCUCCCCAUCUCCCGAGUUUUUCAAUUCAUGAAGAAGGUAGAAAAAUUAACUGGACAAAGAAAAGGCAUAAAUUGAGGUGUCGGGUCUAGUCUAGGCUCCUUCCCAGGCUGUGUCUCCAUUGACUGGAAUUUCUGCUUACUCCCAUUUGGGAAUAACCAGAAAGGAUCCAACUGGUAUUCCUUACUGAGCAGAGGCCACCUGUGGGACAUUUACCGCGUGAUUGUCAUGUUUGUUAUUCUGGAGUUGGCUGUCACUGCCCGGCGAGGGAUCUGAGGACGGGAACUCGGCCCUACCAGAAACCAGAUACCAGACCAGAACCAGAAUUUGAGUUCUCUGCCUACCAGAGGUGAUCAGACUCUGACCCUCAGCUCAAGUUGAGGCCCUUCAACUAAAUUCCUGUGUCCAGGACCAGGACAGAAGGAAAAAAGGAUGGGAUAGGAGGGCUGAAAAGAGGAAAGUGAGAAGGUAGGGGAGAGAGGUCAACAAAGUCUCUUAUUCCUUACCAAGUCGGGACACUCUGGCCAGUAAUCUGCUUCAGGAAUAGACCAGGGACAAAAAAAGAGUCCCAGUUGCGGAUGCUGGGUCUGGUCCAUCAGCAGGCAAGUUGGUUCUCGAGUACCCUGAGCAGUCAGGAUGUCAGCUGUAGCAAAGAAGGGGUCCCAUCUGGGUCGCCAGUUGUUGCAGGAAGAGAGACCCCUUUCAGGGCCUGAAAAUGGGAUCUUGUCUAACACUAGGAAAUGAACUGUCCAAGAAGAGGCACGUGCUGACAAAGCAAGAGACUUUUUUGGGAAGGGGCACCUGGAUGGAGAGCAGGAGGGUAAGGGAACCCAAAAGGACUGUUCUGCCACGUGGCUCAUAGUCUGGGGUUUUAUGGUGAUGGGGUGGGUUUGAGGUUGUCUCUGGCCAAUCACUCUGACUUAGGGUCCUUUCCGGUGGCGUGUGCAUCUCUCAGCAAGAGCUGCAGCAGCUGCACCCCAGCCCUGAGCCUUUGCCUGUGCCAGGGCUGCCCCACCUCUCCCCACCCCUAUUGUACUGUUUCAUUUCCACAUAUGUGUGAAUAUCCAAAUUUUCCUGCUAUUGAUCUCUAGCUUCAUUCCAUUUUGGUCAGAGAACAUACUUUGUAUGACUUCAAUUCUUAUUAAGACUUGUAUCGUGGCCUAGCAUAUGGUCUAUCCUGGAGAAUGUUCCAUGUAUAAUUUGAAGAAUGUGUAUAUUUCUGUUGUUGGAUGCAAUGUUUUAGUUGCAUUUUAAGUGGUUGUAUUACAGCGUUGUUCAAAUCUUCUAUUUCCUUGUUGAUCCUCUGUCUACUCAUUGUAUCCAUAAUUGAAAGUGGAGUAUUGAAGACUCUAACAAUUAUUGUUGUCUGAUUCUCCAUUCAGUUCUGUCAGAUUUUGCUUCAUGUAUUUUGGUGCUCUGUUAUUAGGUAUGCAUGUUUGUAAUUGUUAUGUCUUCUUGAUAGGUUGUCUCUUUUGUCAUGAAAAAAUGUCCUUUGUUCCUAGUAACAAUUUUUGUUUUAAAGUGUUCUUUUGUCUGAUAUUAGUACCUUUUAGUUUCAACCUAUUUGUAUCUGAAUCUAAGGUGCAUCUCUUGUAGAUAGCAUAUAAUUUGAUUGUUUUUAAAAAAAAUCCCCUAUGACAAUCUCCACCUUUUGUUGUAGUGUUCAAUCCACUUAUAUUGAGUGUCCUUUCUGAUAUGGUAGAAUUUAAUGCCUUCCUUCUGGCUAUUUGUUUCCUGUAUGUCUUAUGUCUUUUGUUCCUCUAUUUCUCCAUGACUGCCUUCUUUCUGUUGAACAGAUAUGCUCUAGUGCACCAUUUCAAUUACCUUGUCAUUUCUUUCAUUAUAUAUCCUUUGAGUUAUUUUUCUUAGUGGUUGUCCUGGAUAUCUUAGUUUAUAAUAAUCUAGUUCAGAUUAAUACCAACUUUAUUUCAACAAUAUGCAAAAUUUUGCUCCUACACAGUUCUAUUUCUCCCUUCCUUUGUGUUAUUAUCCUCCACAUUAAAUCUUUAUAUACUGGAUGCCCAUCCACAUCUCACUGCCAUAUCACAUUACUGCCUGCUGGUCUCCACAGUUUAUGAUGAAAAAUUAGCUACUCAUCUUAACGAGGAUGUCAUGCACAUUUUGGUGAUAAGUCAUUUCUCUCUUUUGGCCUUUAAGAUUCUCUCUGUGUCUCCAGCUUUCAACAGUUUGAUUAUGAUCUGUCUUGGUUUGGCUCUGUUUGAGUUUAUCCUUCUUGGACUUCAUUGAGCUUCUUGGGUCUGUAAGCAAAUGUUUUUCAUCAAAUUUGGGAACUUUUCUGCCAUUAUUCCUUCAAAUAUUCUUCUUUUUCCCUUUCUCCUCUCCUUCUAGUAUUCUCAUUAUGGUUAUGUCAGUACACUUGAUGCUGUCCCAGAGGUCUCUGAGGCUUUAUUCAAUUUAUUUUUUUUCCUUUGUAUUCCUCAAGACUGGUAAACCCAAUGGGCCUGUCUUCAAGGUCACUGAUUCCUUCUUCCACCUGCUGAAACCUGCUGUUGAACACCUCUAGUGAAUUUUUCAUUUCAGUCAUUGUACUUUUAACUCUAGACUGUCUAUGUGGUUCUUUAUAAUUUCUAUCUAUUGAUAUUCUCUUUGGUAAUACAUUGUUUUCAUACUUUAGUUGUUCAGAUAGUAUUUCCUUUAGUUCUUUGAACGUAUUUUAAAUAGCUGAUUUAAAGUCUUUGGUCUGCUCUUAGGAACUAUUUCUAUUGAUAGUGUUUUCCCUUCUGCACAUGGAUCACGCUUUUUUGUUUCUUUGCAUGUUUUGUAAAAUACAUUGUUGAAAACUGGACAUGUGGCAACUUUGGAAAUCAGGUUCUUCCCUCAUCCUCAAAGGUUUUUGUAGUUGCUGAAAUUAUUUGUUUAAUGACUUUCUUGCACUAUCUUUGUAAGGUCUGUGUUCUUUUUUGUGUGUGCCCACUGAGGUCUCUGCUCAGUUAGAUUAGUGGCCAGCUAAUGAUUGGUCAAAGAUUUCCUUUGAUACCUUGAACCAGUAAAUCACCCAGUCAUUGCCAAGGGGUUCUGUAUGCUUGUUGUGGCAUGCCUUCAGCACUCGGCCAGACACUUAAUAACUCUGCAUUAGACUUCACGUUCUGCUUGUAAAGAGCCUCGAUGGCAGCUAGAGGCGAGCAGUUCUUUUCUGAGCAUGCACACAGUCCUCCGUGUGCCUUAGCAUUCUAGAUUUUGAGGAAUAUUUCAGAUUUUCACAGCCCUUAUGGACAGCUCCUUCCCUAGAUUUUACUUUUAAGCUUUUUGGGUAGCCUCUUGUUUGCCCCAAUGGUUAUCCACUGCCUCCAGCAGCCAUAAAAUCAAACAACUGCAUCGAAAUGUUUUUGCCGACACCCCCAGGGAAAAGAUUUUUCACAUUGGACGAGCUCCCAGUCUACUCAAUAAAGACAGCCCUGCAAGUAGUCUUCCAGGGAGCCACCAGACAGGUCAUAUAAUGACAAUUCUGUGGGAAUGAGGUAGCUCAUUCCUGAUAGCUCCAACCCUGAUUUGCCUCUCCUGUUGCCUUCUAUUUUUCCCUAUGAUUGUGGCUGUUGAUUUUCAAGGCUCUCACAGAGCUGGAGAGAGGGGGAUAGAAAUAGGACAAGUUAUAUUGCCACAAAACUCACUGUCAUUACUGAGAUUGAGCCACUUUUCUUGAUUAAAACUCCCCAGAAUGCUACACUCUCUCGGUUAGUUUCCAGAGUUCUGAAAAACUGGUUCUGACAAUUUUGGUUAGUUUUCUUAUCACCUUUAUGGAGGUUAUAAUUUUUUGAAGGUCCUUACUGCAUUUUCACUGAUAUCACUUCCUGGCCAACAUCUUGACUAUAACCCAUGAGAGACACCUACAAAGCCACUCCCAAAUUCCUGACCCACAGAAACUGAGAUAAUAAAUGUUUGUUCUUUUAAGUUGCUAAGUGUUUGAGUAAUUUAUUAUGUACCAAUGGAUUAUUAAUAGCAUUUGCAAAAAACUGUAUAUAUUUCUCUCCUUCUAAAUACAUACUGAAGCACACUUUCCACAGUGCCCUACACUUUUUUCACUUAGUGAGUACUGGUUUCUUUCCCAUUCCUAUUUCAUGGCUCUUUGAGAUUCCCCUGUGCAUGAAUAUGACCAAUAACUUAUGAUGGAUGUCUGUCUCCACUCACUUAAUGACGAAUAUGAAGAUUAUAUGCAGUUUUCUGCUCUUUCAAAUAAUGCCAAGAUGAAGCCUUAUUAAUGCAAGAUUUCUCGUGUGUAGGAAACUCCCAUUUCUAAUUUUGUGUCUUUUCUCUAAAAACAUUUUGUUUCCAAAGAAAUGAAAACUCUGAAUGAAUCUAGUGGCAACCAUAAGGACAAGGCAAGUAUAUUACUGAAAGGAAGUCUAGAGUUUUGAGGAUUCAGGAGCUGGUCGAUAACACUGACCCAGAUUUCUUCCAUCCUUCAACUCUGUCACUGUUGGAGGUGGCUUCAUCCUUGGACUGGUAGCAAUAUGGCUGCAGCAGUCCCAGGUGUCACAUCCAGACCCAACCCACCUCGAGAGAGAGAGGGAGAGAGAGAGAGAGGGGAGAUGGUCUUUCCCUGUGGCUCUUUGGUGGGAGUGAGUACUUGAUUCAGAAUCAUCCUUGUAGACUUCUCUUUGUGGCAUGUUCGGCAGAACAGGGUCACCUGUCCAUUGCUGGAGCAUCACUGGUAGAUAGAAGGUAAUCAUCUGGUGGGAGAGGCAACCCCAGUGUUGGUGAAGCAGAGAUGGUGACCUUCCUGCAGGCAGUGAGGAUCAACAUUAAACCCGAACUUGGAGCUUUGUUCUAAGAUUUAAAAGACACAUACAUAAAAAUUACAAAUCUGUGUUAAUGGCCACCCAAUGUAAUAUACAUCAUUUGUGACAUCAAGAACAAAGUCAGGUGGAGAAACACAGCUGUAUAGGAGUUCGUGUAUACAACUGAAAUAUAGGUCAGUAUCAACUUAACCUGCUACAACUUCAGGAUGUCAUAUGUAAGUUCUAUGGUAACCAUAAAAAAAGUUAUCUGUAGAAUACUUGCAAAGCAAAUGAGAAGCAGAUCAAACAUGGUGCUACAAAAAAAAAAUCAAACAGAAAGGUAGUAAUAGAAAAAGUGAGGGACAAAAAGGCUAUCAGACAUGCAGAAGACAAAAUGGCAAAAGUAAGUCCUCCUCUGUCAGCAAUUAUUUUAAUUGUAAAUGGAUUAAACUCCCCAAUCAAAGGGCACAGCUGACAGAAUGGGUAAAAACACAUGAUCCAACUAUAUUUUGUCUACAAAAGACUCACUUACAUUAGAUAUCAGCACAUAGGUUGAAAGUGAAAGGAAGGAAAAAGAUAUUCCAUGCAAAUAACCAAAAGAGAGCUGAGGUGGCUUGGUAAUAUAAGACAAAAUAGACUUUAAAAAUCCAAAAAUGGUUCCAAGAGACAAAGAAGGACAUUAUUAAUAAAUAGGUCAAUUCACCAAGAAGAUGUAACAAUUAAAAGCACAUACACACCAAACAAUUACAGUUCCAAAAUAUAUGAAGAAAACACACAUAAUUGAAGAGAGAAACAGACACUUCUACAAUAAUAGUUGGUGAGGUCAAUAACACACUUUGAAUAAUGGAUAGGACAGCCAGAUCAAUAAGGAAUUGAGGAUUUGAACAACACUAUAAACCAACUAACUGGACCUAACAGACAUAGAGAACAUUCACCCAAUAACAUUUAGAAUACAUAUUUUUCUCAAGUGCAAAUGGAACAUUCUUCAGGACAGAAUAUAUGUUAGGCCACAAAACAAGUCAAUGCAUUUUAAAACAUCAAAAUCUUACAAAGUACCUUUUCCAGUAACAAUGGAAUGAAACUGGAAAUCAAUAGCAGAAAGCAAAAUGAAAAAUUCACAAGUAUAUGGAAAGUAAACAAUAUGCUCUUAUCCAAGGGGUCAAAGAAGAAACCACAAAGGAAAUUGUAAGAUACUAGACACAAAUAAAAAUGAAAACAGGACUUCCUAGGUGGUGCAGUGGUUAAGGAUCCACCUGACAAGGCAGGGGACAUGGGUUCAAUCCCUGCCCCAGGAAGAUACUACAUGCCUCGGAGCAACUAUGCCCGUGUGCCACAACUAUUGAGCCUGCACUCUACAGCCUGUGAGCUUCAACUAUUGAGCCUGUGUGCUGUAACUACUGAAGCCUGCGUGCCUAGAGCCCAUGCUCUGCAACAAGAGAAACCACCAAAAUGAGGAGCCUGUGCACUACAAUGAAGAGUAACCCCUGCUCGCUGCAACUAGAGAAAGCUCAUGUGCAGCAACGAAGACCCAAUGCAGCCAAUAAAUAAAUAAAUAAAUUAAUUAAUUAAAAAAAUGAAAACAACAUAUGGAAAGGUAUGGAAUGCAGUAAAAGCAGUGCUAAGAGGGAAACUGAUAUUUGUAAAUGCCUGUGUUAAAAGAUAAGAAAGCUCUCAAAUCAACAACCUAAAUUUAGGCUGCAAGGAACCAGAAUAAGAAAAAAUUAAACCCAAAACAAGCAAAAGGAAGGAACUAAUAGUCUAGAGCAGAGAUAAGAAAAAUAGAAAAACAAUAGAGAAAAUCAACAAAACCUAAAGUUGGUUUCUUGAAAAGAUCAACAAAAUUGAAAACUUUAGCUAGACUAAGAAAAAGACUCAAAUUACUAAAAUCAGAAAUUACUAUUGAUUUUACAGAAAAAAAAAAGGAUUAUAAGGAAGUGUCACAAGCUACUGUAUGCCAACAAACUAUAUCACCUAGAUGAAAUGUACAAAUUCCUACCCACACAACCUACGAAGGUUGAAUUAUGAAGAAAUAGAGAAUCUGAAUAGACCUAGAACUAGUAAGGAUAUUCAGUUAGCAAUAAAAAACCUACCAACAAAGAAAAGCUCAGGACCAGACAGCUUCACCUGUGAAUUCUACCAAGCUCUGAAAUGGAAUUAAUACCAGUCCUUCUCAAACACUUCCAAAAAUUUGAAGAGGAGAGAAUAUUUCCCAACUCAAUCAAUGAGGCCAGCAUUAACCAGAUUCCAAAGCCUGACAAAAACGCUACAACUACAGACUGGUAUCCCUUAUGAAUACUGAUGCAAAAAUCCUCAACGAAAUACUAGCAAACAGAAUUCAGUAGCAUAUUAAAGGAUCAUACACCAUGAACAAGUGGGAUUUUAGUCCUGCAAUAAUACAAGGGUGAUUCAGCAGCUGAAAUCAAUUGAUGUAAUACACCACAUGAAAAGAAUGGAAGGAAAAAACAUGACUAUGUAAAAUGGUUAUUUUGUUUUACCACAGUAAAACAAAGAAAACCUCUGAUAAACUGCUUCCCAAAAUGAUGAUUUUACACAUCAUCACUGCAUGAUGAGCAUUUUACACAUUUUACCUGAUGAAUAACUUCUAGUUGCUCCAUGUCUUCACAAACAUUUGGUGUGGUCAGUCUUUUUAAUGUUUAGCCAUCCCAGUGGAUGUAUAGUAGUAUUUCACUGUCGUUUUAAUGUGCAAUUCCCUGAUUACUAAUGACGUUCAGCAAAUUUUCAUAUAUAUUCCCUUGUGAAGUGUCUGUUAAAAUAUUUGGCCAUUUUUAAUUAGCUGGUUUGGCUUAUUAUUGAAGUGUAAUUCUUUAUAUAUCCUGAAUACAGUCCUUUGUCAGAUAUGAUUUGUGCAUAUUUUCUUUCACUGUGGUUUCCCUAUUCAUUUUCUUCGCUGUGUUUAGACAAGAAUAAUUUCUGAAUUUUGGUUCUCACCAAAUUUUCUUUUUAUGGUUGUUGUUUUCUGUACCUCAGAAACAUCUAUCCCAUUCCAACUGAUUAAGUAUAUUCUCCUAUGUUUUCUCUAAAAGCUUUAUGGUUUUGUAUUUAGGUGUAUGACCCACUGUGAACUGAUAUUUCUCCACGGAAUGAGGCAGGAGUUGUGGUUGAUUUUUUGUUGGCUAGAGAUACCCAAAUAUUCCAACACCACUUGCUGAAAAACAUUUUGCUUUCCCUAGUGACUGUAUACAUGUGGCCUGUUUUUGAGAUUUCUAGUCUGUCCCAUCAAUGUAUUUGUUAUCUUUAUGCCAGUAUCACACCAGCUUGGUUACUGUAAGUUCUGAAGUCAAAUAGCAUAAAUCGUCCGACUUUUUCAAGUUUGUGUUGUUUAUUCAAAGUCCUUCAGCUUUCCAAUAUAUUUUAGAAUCAGUUUGUCAAUUUUUACCAAAAAAACUGCUGGGAUUCCGAUCGGGACUGCACUGAAUCUAUAUAUCAAUUUGGAAAGAACUGUAUCUUAACAACAUUGAGCCUUCCAAUCUGUGGACAUGGUACAUCUCUCCAUUGAUUGAAGUGUUCUUCCUCAGCUAUGUUUUGUGGUUUUCAGUGUAAAGAACUGCUCUUAUUUGUUAAAUUUAUCCUAAGUAAUUUUUGGUUUUUAUUGCUAUCAUAAAUGGGAUUGGGUUUUUAGUUUCAUUUUCCAAUUGUCUGCAGCAAGUACAUAAAAUAAUACAACUGUCUUUGUAUAAUGAGCUUGGGUCCUAUAACCUUUGCUAAAUGAUCUCCACUUGUUAAUGCCAGUAAUUGUGUCAUACACUCAGUUUUAAAGAUUAAAAAGAAUUCUGUCAUCUGCAAACAGAAACAAAUUUAUGUCUUACUUUCUGUUCUCUGUAUAUCUUUUUCUCCCUUGCCUUGUUGCAAUGGCUACGACUGCCAAUAAAAUGUUGGAUAGGAGGGGUCAAGAUGUGUACCCUUGCCUUGUUUUCAGCCUUAAAAUGUAUUUAAUAUUUCCUUCUAAAGUUUAUAUGGAAAGGUGAAGGAUCUUGUAUAAAUGAAGCAAACUUGAAAAAGUUGGACAAUUUAUACUAUUCGGCUUCAGAACUUACAAUAACCAAGUCAGUGUGGUACUGGCAUAAAGAUAACAGAUACACUGAUGGAAUGGAAUAGAAUGGGUUUCCUUCCCUUGUUUCCAAUCUUAAGAAAAAUGUAUUUACUAUUUCACCAUUAAGUAUAAUGAUAACUAUAAGUUUUUGUAGAUACCCUUUUAAAAAU